rnacentral:rRNA from 1 species
CAGCAGCAGCCGCGGGAAUACGAAGGGUGCAAGCGUUACUCGGAAUUACUGGGCGUAAAGCGUGCGUAGGUGGUGGUUUAAGUCCGUUGUGAAAGCCCUGGGCUCAACCUGGGAAUUGCAGUGGAUACUGGGUCACUAGAGUGUGGUAGAGGAUAGUGGAAUUUCCGGUGUAGCAGAGAAAUGCGUAGAGAUCGGAAGGAACAUCUGUGGCGAAGGCGACUAUCUGGGCCAACACUGACACUGAGGCACGAAAGCGUGGGGAGCAAACAGGAUUAGAUACCCCAGUAGUCCCUGUCUCUUAUAC